GACGAACGCUGGCGGCGUGCCUAAUACAUGCAAGUAGAACGCUGAAGGAGGGGCUUGCUUCUCCGGAUGAGUUGCGAACGGGUGAGUAACGCGUAGGUAACCUGCCUGGUAGCGGGGGAUAACUAUUGGAAACGAUAGCUAAUACCGCAUAAGAGUAGAUGUCGCAUGACAUUUGCUUAAAAGGUGCAACUGCACCACUACCAGAUGGACCUGCGUUGUAUUAGCUAGUUGGUGAGGUAACGGCUCACCAAGGCAACGAUACAUAGCCGACCUGAGAGGGGGAUCGGCCACACUGGGACUGAGACACGGCCCAGACUCCUACGGGAGGCAGCAGUAGGGAAUCUUCGGCAAUGGACGGAAGUCUGACCGAGAAACGCCGCGUGAGUGAAGAAGGUUUUCGGAUCGUAAAGCUCUGUUGUAAGAGAAGAACGAGUGUGAGAGUGGAAAGUUCACACUGUGACGGUAUCUGACCAGAAAGGGACGGCUAACUACGUG
rnacentral:rRNA from 1 species